rnacentral:rRNA from 1 species
AACGCGAAGAACCUUACCUGGGCUCGAAAUGGAGUGGACAGGAGUGGAAACAUUCCCUCCCCGCAAGGGGCUGCUCUAUAGGUGCUGCAUGGCUGUCGUCAGCUCGUGUCGUGAGAUGUUGGGUUAAGUCCCGCAACGAGCGCAACCCUUAUCUCCAGUUGCCAUCAUUCAGUUGGGCACUCUGGCGAAACCGCCUCGGAUAACGGGGAGGAAGGUGGGGAUGACGUCAAGUCCUCAUGGCCUUUAUGUCCAGGGCUACACACGUGCUACAAUGGCCGGUAUAAACCGCUGCAAACCCGCGAGGGGGAGCUAAUCGGAAAAAGCCGGCCUCAGUUCGGAUCGCAGUCUGCAACUCGACUGCGUGAAGCUGGAAUCGCUAGUAAUCGCAGAUCAGAAUGCUGCGGUGAAUACGUUCCCGGGCCUUGUACACACCGAGACGAC